rnacentral:rRNA from 1 species
GAUCAGCUUGCUUCGCAGAGCAGGCGUAUUUCCACGCAUGGCAGGUCAGCGUCAGUUUUGCGCGGCGUGAAAAGGCUCGGGUAAGGUAGCUCUCUUCGGGGAGUGUUAUAGACCUGGGCAGAUGCGCUGCGCGGGACUGAGGAUUGCAGCGGACACCCCCUCGGGGGCGCGGCGACCGAACCCUGCUCGGCCACCCUCGUUCGAUAGCGUGCUAGCGGACGCGGGAGCGGCAGUGCACCGGAACAGGCAAGCCAGCGGUUCGCUAAGGAUGCUGACGUA